rnacentral:rRNA from 1 species
UUCAGAGGUCCCGAGCGUUGUUCGGAUUUACUGGGCGUAAAGGGAGCGUAGGCGGUUCGGUAUGUCGAAUGUGAAAGCCCACAACUCAACUGUGGAAAUGCAUUCGAAACUGCCGGGCUAGAGUACUGGAGAGGAGAGCGGAAUUCUUGGUGUAGCGGUGAAAUGCGUAGAUAUCAAGAGGAACACCGGUGGCGAAGGCGGCUCUCUGGACAGAUACUGACGCUGAGGCUCUAAAGUUAGGGGAGCAAACAGGAUUAGAUACCCGUGUA